GAUGGUACGAAUGGAUUCUAUGAAAAUACAUUGUGACGUCAUUAUUAAGAAACUACAGCCUUAUUUCGUUUUCAUGUUCUUAUCAUUUUCAAUUCUCUUUUCAGCAAUGAAAGUCAAUUUGGGCAGGCCGGUGAAGCUCAAUUCAACAGUGCAAAAUGCCCAUAAUAUCACUUAAAGAAGAUGGAGGCUCGUGCUCGGGAGGCCAUCAAGAAAAUCUCAACUGCGUCGUCUAACAAGGCUGCCAUUGAUGCUUAUGAGAAAGAAAUGGAUUCGAGGUACAGUAAUGCCUGAUAUUACUCAGAUUGCUGCUGUGCAGCUGAAGACGGGUUUUAAGUUCUCGACAUAUGUGAGGACAACAAUGCCAAUUUCUUCCGAAGCUCAGAAAGUGAUUGGCAUCUCUGUUGAUGAUCAUGGCAUAAUGUGUGUAAAUGGUGGAAGUGUUGAUAGUGUAUAAAUUAAAACUUCUCUACAUGAUUGUAUGAUGUGGCUUGCAAAGUUUCCCAGAGCCAUUUUUGUUGCUCAUAAUGGGCGCAGGUUUGAUUUUUCGGUUUUGGUUAGUGAAUUGCUGAACACACACUGUUUUGAAACAUGUAAAAUUACUGACAAUAUGGCCCACAUCUUUACUGUUACUGCAAUCCAUAAUUCAGUUUGUUUAAGUCAUGAAAAGCCAUAAAGGCAAAGAACACUAGAUUGUUUGACGUGCAACUGCAUAGAGGAACUCUAAAGCGACCAACAGCUGAAAACAUUGCGGGAUAUGGACUGGCCUUGUGUCAUUUGAAAGCCAUAUUUUCUAGUUCCGGAGAGGAUGACUUUGGGAUACUUUAAUUGCUAAAAACAAUGAGGGGCUUCCAAAAGUCACAAACGCAGAAAAAUAUUUUUUGUCUGAAGUGGUCCCUAAAAUCGGUCAGUUUUUCAGUGACGAAAAGUGACGGAACGAGAUAAUAUGGCUUUCAAAUGACACGCGGCCAGUCAAAAUCACGCAAUGGCUUUAUACUGAUACUAAAUUAUGUACAUCUAGUUGUCAUUAAUCUGGCUGUUUGUAUUAAAAUAUAAGUUGUAUAUUAUUGUGCUACAUGCUUAAAGAAACAUGAUAACUUAUACAUCUUUAUGCUACGUAAUAUUGGGACAACUUUGACAUUUUGUGGUGAACUGCGCCUGUAUUCAUAUGUUGCCUUUUGACUUAAGGUGACCUUAAGAUUGUAUUAUUAGCUCAGCUGUUUUCGGAGAAAACUCCGAGGUAUUGUCAUAGCCUCUUCGUCGUCCGACGUCUGCCGUCGUGCUAAAACCUUUACAUUGGCUCUUAAAUUAAAGUGCUUCCACCUACAACUUUUAAACUUCAUAUGUACAUGCACCUUCAUGAGUUCUACACACCACAUUCUUUUUUUGGUCACUAGGUCAAAGGUCAAGGUCACUGUGACCUGUAAUAUAAAACUUUAACUUUGCCUCUAACAUCACAAUUCUUCCACCUACAACUUUGAAACUUCAUAUGUAGAUGCACCUUGAUGAGUUCUACACGCCACACCCAUUUUGGGUCACUAGGUCAAAGGUCAAGGUCACUGUGACCUCUAAAAAAAAAAAAAAAAAAAUUCUGACAAGCUUUCGCAGUAGAGCGUGGCACCCGCUAUGCGGUGCUCUUGUUAAUGUAUUUUUAUAUCAAUAUUAAUUCAAAGUUAGCUAAAUUUCUUCACAUGUCAUGGUUUAUAACUGUAGCUUUUAAAAAGAAGUGAUAUACAAAUUUAUACUUAAAUUCAUUGCGUGAAAAUGAAUUGGGGUAGGCAUUCUCAAAGUAAAAUUUCUUGAGAUAGGAACGGUAAAACUUCCUGAAAUUCAUUCAGUGUGUAGAAAAUAUGUUGUGUUAAAUAAAUAUGUACAAUAUAUGCAUUUCAUCACACUACAAGUGACAUAAAACGUAAUUAAAGUUUCUUGUCACUGAACCAUUUGUUGUCGUUUUUGCCAUUUUAUCCGGAUAAGUGUAUAUAUUAUUGGACAUUAAAGGCACAAUUCUCUUUCAAUGACACUUUUUAAUUCUGUAUCUACUAACAAAAUCCAGUCGAGUAGGUUUAUUAAGUUAAUUGUCAAAAUAUAUGUAUAUCCCAUUACAAAUAACUAUAUAUUUUGGAUAUAGGGUAAAUCCAUAGAAAACGCCCAACCGAGUCAAGGGGUAGGUGUAUUCAACCAAAUAUAAAAAGUUAACCGGCUGGUAUAAAGUUUUAAAAUUUUGCAAUUAGUUGUGAUAUACAAUUUACUAUGUGGAUAUAAUAACAAAGAGUGUUUCUGGAAAAGUACCCAUUAGGCUCCCACUACCGUAAUAUCUUAGUUUGAAGGUGAUUUUUCAAGCGGUUCCGUAGUGUAGUGGUUACAUGCUGGCUUCACAUGUGAGAGGUCCAAGGUUCGAGCCCCAGUAGAAUCAAAUUAUUUUAUUUGUGUUCUAUGUUAACUGUUUGUUUUGAUGUAGACAUUUUAGUUUAAAUAAAUAUGCUGUUUUGUUGUAACCAUUUUUUGUUUUUAUUAUGCCCAUGAAAUAUAUGUGUGAGAGGGUGGGGGGGUUGCAAACACAUUAAAACCUUCUUUGUUCCACUAUCCUAGCAACUACCUAGUUACUAAUAAAGGCGCUAUAGAGCGCGAAGCGCGACACGUAUUAUUAAUUGUAAUAAUGAGUCUUGAUAAAGGAAGCAGCCGCUUAUCAAUUAGGAGCACCAUCACAGCACCCCAGUCUUAAUACAAUCAAGUCCUCCUACAGUUUUUUUUUUUUUAAACACAUAUAGAAGGCCGCAGGCCUGACCCGUAUCUUGCCAGUGGUAUGGACCCUUUGGUAUGGACCUUUAACCCCGCUCACUAUCCAGCGUUUAAACUUCCGGGUUUACAUUUAAACCGACUAUAAAUAGCUUAUUAAUAUCUUAGUUAGAAGGUGAUUUUUCAAGCGGUUCCACAGUGUAGUGGUUACAAGCUCGCUUCACAUGUGAGAGGCUCAAGGUUCGAGCCCCAGUAGAAUCAAAUUAU